rnacentral:rRNA from 1 species
GACGAACGCUGGCGGCGUGCUUAACACAUGCAAGUCGAACGGUGAAGCUCCAGCUUGCUGGUGUGGAUCAGUGGCGAACGGGUGAGUAACACGUGAGCAACCUGCCCCUGACUCUGGAAUAAGCGCUGGAAACGGCGUCUACUACUGGAUAUGAGACGGGUCCGCAUGGACACUUUCUGGACAGUUUUUCGGUUGGGGAUGGGCUCGCGGCCUAUCAGCUUGUUGGUGAGGUAAUGGCUCACCAAGGCGACGACGGGUAGCCGGCCUGAGAGGGCGACCGGCCACACUGGGACUGAGACACGGCCCAGACUCCUACGGGAGGCAGCAGUGGGGAAUAUUGCACAAUGGGCGAAAGCCUGAUGCAGCGACGCCGCGUGAGGGAUGACGGCCUUCGGGUUGUAAACCUCUGUCAGCAGGGAAGAAGCGAAAGUGACGGUACCUGCAGAAGAAGCACCGGCUAACUACGUG